rnacentral:rRNA from 1 species
AAGGAGGUUCCUAGCGUUGUUCGGAAUUACUGGGCGUAAAGGGAGCGCAGGCGGGCAGACAAGUCUGGAGUGGAAGCCCGGGGCUCAACCCCGGAAGGGCUUUGGAUACUAUCUGUCUUGAGUUCGUGAGAGGAAGGCGGAAUUCAGGGUGUAGCGGUGAAAUGCUUAGAUAUCCUGAGGAACACCGGUGGCGAAAGCGGCCUUCUGGCACGAAACUGACGCUGAGGCUCGAAAGCGUGGGGAGCGAACGG